CGCACGAGCGCACCCUUGUCAUUAGUUGCUACGAAAGGGCACUCUAAUGAGACUGCCGGUGACAAACCGGAGGAAGGUGGGGAUGACGUCAAGUCCUCAUGGCCCUUAUGGGUAGGGCUUCACACGUCAUACAAUGGUACAUACAGAGGGCCGCCAACCCGCGAGGGGGAGCUAAUCCCAGAAAGUGUAUCGUAGUCCGGAUUGUAGUCUGCAACUCGACUGCAUGAAGUUGGAAUCGCUAGUAAUCGCGGAUCAGCAUGUCGCGGUGAAUACGUUCCCGGGUCUUGUACACACCGCCCGUCACACCAUGGGAGCGGGUUUUACCAGAAGUAGGUAGCUUAACCGUAAGGAGGGCGCUUACCACGGUAGGAUUCGUGACUGGGGUGAAGUCGUAACAAGGUAGCCGUAUCGGAAGGUGCGGCUGGAUCACCUCCUU
rnacentral:rRNA from 1 species